AUAAAACCCAGAUAGAGUAAUAGUUCUUUGACCAGUUAGCUAUGACCUUAGUUAGUGAUGGUCUCAUUGGAUUCAGAAGAAAAAUUAUAUGGGAAUAAAUGAGAGGGCUUGUGUCUCUAAAAAAUCAAUAUUGGCUUUAAGAGAUGCAUAAUCUUUAAUUAAGAGACAGUUUACCCGAGGACCAAUGGUUUAUGUAAUAUGCUUUUUUGUUGCUCUUUUGUAUCAGGUUUUCAUUCAGGUUUUCCUAAUUUUAAUUUGUAUACCAGAAAAAGAAACUUUACCUUCCCAAAUUUUCAUUUUUGUCCUUUUACAAGACCCUAUUUCUUGAUUCUAAAUGACUUAACUUCAACAUUUCUCUGCUUUCCUUCUAUAAGGUAUAAAGCAAUAAAUGACUCACCUUUUGUGUGUACUUUACUGCAGCUAUUUUUUGCAACGAGUCUUGCACUAAAUAAAUAACAGACAAGCAGGAGUUAUCAUCAAUGCUUAAGUUUUGAAUAUACGAUACGAUUGACUGAUGAUACUGUUGUAAAGGCACAUAAUUUCAAAGAUCUCUUUGUGAAUAAUUGUCAGUAAAAUUGCCCUGAAGUCGAUCCUUUGUAGACAAAAACUCAAUUUGAGGAUUUACUUUUUUGCAAACAUCACACUCCUUAGUAAACAGGAUAUUCCCAACCAGGUGACUGUACUGUAAAUCCUCGGAAAUCAGUCCUUGCUUUACUAUUGGUUGGAAAAAUGUCUCUGACUUAGAAAAGUUGAUUUUUUAGCCCUUUUUAUGCAUAUAAACCGAUCUGAGUCCCAUGAAUCUUUGACGAUCGUUAUGAAAUCAUCUCUCCUGUCUCUAGGGUUCAUAAUUAAAUAAGAAAAGUACAAUUUCAUAAUGAUCCAAAGUGUUCCCGAGAGGUGAGAUGCGGUAGAAAGUGAAAAAAUGGACUUUUUACCUCUUUUUAUGCAUAUAAACCGAGCUGAGUCCCAUGAAUCUUUGACGAUCGUCAUGAAAUCAUUUCUCCUGUCUCUAGGGUUCAUAAUUAAAUAAGAAAAGUACAAUUUCAUAAUGAUCCAGAGUGUUCCCGAGAGGUGAGAUGCGGUAGAAAGUGAAAAAGUGGACUUUUUACCCCUUUUUAUGCAUAUAAACCGAUCUGAGUCUUAUGAAUCUUUGACGAUCGUUAUGAAAUCAAUUCUCCUGUCUCUAGGGUUCAUUAUUAAAUAAUAAAAGUACAAUUUCAUAAUGGUCCAGGGUGUUCCCGAGAGAUGAGAUGCGGUAGAAAGUGAAAAAAUGGACUUUUUACCUCUUUUUGGGCAUAUAAACCGAUCUGAGUACCAUGGAUCUUUGACGAUCGUUAUGAAAUCAUCUCUCCUGUCUCUAGGGUUCAUUAUUAAGUAAGAAAAGUAUAAUUUCAUAAUGAUCCAGAGUGUUCCCGAGAGGUGAGAUGCGGUAGAAAGUCAAAAAGUGGACUUUUUACCCCUUUUUAUGCAUAUAAACCGAUCUGAGUGCCAUGAAUCUUUGACGAUCGUUAUGAAAUCAUCUCUCCUGUCCCUAGGGUUCAUUAUUAAGUAAGAAAAGUAUAAUUUCAUCAUGAUCCAGAGUGUUCCCGAGAGGUGAGAUGCGGUAGAAAGUCAAAAAGUGGACUUUUUACCCCUUUUUAUGCAUAUAAACCAAUCUGAGUCCCAUGAAUCUUUGACGAUCGUUAUGAAAUCAAUUCUCCUGUCUCUAGGGUUCAUAAUUAAAUAAGAAAAGUACAAUUUCAUAAUGAUCCAGAGUGUUCCCGAGAGGUGAGAUGCGGUAGAAAGUCAAAAAGUGGACUUUUUACCUCUUUUAUGCAUAUAAACCGAUCUGGGUCCCAUGAAUAUUAUGAAAUUAUCUAUCUCGUCUCUAAAUAUCAUAAAUACGUCAGAAUAAUGCAAUUUCAUAAUAAUCCAGUUGAAAACGAUUUAUAUACAAUUGCAACUUAGCGCUAUUUAAUCUUAAACGUGGGUUUUAUGUGACCGAUGCGAAGUCUUGUGCCUUUACGAAAGUUCCUUUUGCCAACGAUUCAACUUAUACAGGAACGAAAAAGAAAAAGAGGUAAAAACAUCUAUAUUAACCAUUGAAAAACGUUAAUAGUAAAGACAUUACGAUAUUUAUGAUGGCAAACUUGUUCGAACCAUCUAACAAAGUUUUUAAUGUCUCGUAACAGAAUACGCCCUCCAGUAAAUAUUAAUGAAAAUAAUAAUAAUAAUAAUAAUAAAAAAUAACUAUCUAGGACUUAAAACAAAACGCAGGAUAAUAUCCAAACCAAAAUAAUAACAGCCGGUUAUAAGAAGAUCGGAAGCCCGAUUCGAUCAUCGUCGUCGUCGUCGCUCUCGGACACAUCGGUCUCGUUCAAGAGCCGACCCAUGGCGAUGUAGCGACCGAUAUCGCCACGAUCGUAAUACUGCAUCGCGAUCAACGGAUCGUCCAGAUCCAACUCGAAAUCCUCGAUAACACCGUCAUCAUCAUCAUCGUCGUCAUCGUCGUCGUCGUCUAUGACGGAAUGUAAAUCGUCCCCCAUCCAGAACAUCAACUGAUUGACGCCCUCCAGCACUUCGUCGGUGAUCGCGUGGUUCCGGUUCCUCCAUCUGCGCGGUUUCGGUGGACCGACGUCCAGUUUUUUCCCGUUGGGCAGGGCGUGUCUGUACAGGCACGUGUUGCCGAACGGACACGACCCGUCGCCCCUCUUGAAGUAUCUGCAGUGUAAUUUUUGUCUGCGCGCCUUCUCGCAGAAUAUGAAGUUGUCUUUCUCCUCUUGACGCUCGAACCAGAUUUUACUCGGAUAUACGAAAUCUGUGGAGAAAAAACUCGCGUUAAACGUGUCGUGUUUGUGGGUAAAGACACUUUAUCGCUAUGCGUCGCCGCAUUCUUAUAACCCAUCCCUAUUAGCAAGACAACAACAGAAGUCAAGUAGAUAACUGUACAUGGAUUUUCAGAAGGCUUUCGAUCAAGUAGUACUUUAUUAUCUGGGUUGCUCUGAAAAUGUAUUAAAAUUAUUUUCUUCUAGUACCUUCUAGACCGAAUGCAGUUUGUCGGAAUCGACGGUUUCAGGUGAUUUAAAAUAAGUGCCAAAUUGUCAUGGUGAAUGUCACAAGAAUCAGCAAUAGUGUUAAAGUGUGUUGACACGCAAUCCUUUGCAAAAGGGAUGGGCAGUCAAUUUUAUGGUUAAGUAAAUUAAACAAGAAUUUCACUGAAUGCAUUUCUCUCCUCUUCGCAAGUGACCGUUCAGUAUAUCUAGAGAGCAGCAGGUUAUGGUCAUAGAGUCCAUAAAAUGAGAGAAUAUGCCGGUGACGUAAAAUGCGCACAAACCCACUUUAAACCAAAAAAUCAAUAAAGGGGAGGCCCCAUAUUUCCCUGAUUAGGUUUACUUGACCGUGAAUACAUGCAUCUCUCUCUUUCACAAGGAAAAAGAUAAAGUCGUUAUAAUAGUUAUACCUCUCCGCUUUAUUCAUCACAGUACCCUUGGAAGUUCGAUGGUGUUUCGCAAUAAGUCAGUGUCGUCGCACUUGGGAACGCGUUGAGAGUGUAGAGUGUGCGUGUAAAUUCAGUUAAAUUUGUGUUUACCUACUUUUUUCUUCCAAUUUUGGUGUGUUUUAAUUUAAAGACUAUUAUUUUGUUUGUGUUUGUUACUAGUAACGUAUUAAAGGUAAGAAAAUGUAGUAGUUUUUUUAAAAGGUAUCUUACAGUGCAAAUUAAUAAACCAAAAGUGCAACUCCAAAGAAACAAAGAAUUUACAUUAACUUUAUUAGUCAUACUUCUGACAAAGGUUGGUUUGACGAAAGCCUAAGCGGUAUACGAAAACCCAUUUCAAAAGGACAGCGAUUAAUCAUCGUUCAUGCUGGAGGAAAAAAUGGUUUUGUUAAAGACGGUCUACUUAUAUUCCGCUCAGGUAAGAUAUAAAAAAUAUAUAUUCUGUGCUUAUUAAUUUCUUACUUAUAACAUUUCAGGUUCUAAAAGUGGCGAUUACCAUGACGACAUGAAUCAUGAAAAUUUCAUGAAAUGGGUGGAAACCCAAUUACUUCCGAAUUUGCCACCAAAUUCGGUCUUAGUUUUGGACAAUGCAUCAUACCAUAAUGUACAAGUAAAAAAGAAUGUUACCUCAGGAAGUAAGAAGCAACUCAUAAUUGAUUGGCUUAAGGAGCAUAAUUUAGAACAUGACGAGAAAAUGACAAAAACGGAACUUUAUGAAAUAGUUCUUCAAAAUAAAAGAUUUUAUCCGAUAAAGUGCAAACUUGACGAACUAAUGGAAAGUCACGGACACUCAACUUUGCGUUUGCCUCCAUACCACCCAGAAUUGAACCCCAUUGAAAAAAUCUGGGCCACUGUUAAAAACUGGGUAGCAAGCAGGAACACAACUUUUAAGUUAGCAGAUGUAGAAGCUUUGACGAGGCAAAAAUUUGCAGAAGUAUCUGUCGAUGAUUGGAGAAGCAUUUGUGACCAUGUCGACAAAAUUGAAGACAAAUAUAUAAAAGAUCAUAAUCUUUUUGAUGAAACUUUAGAUUCCCUAAAAUUAACGGUAAACACUGGCUCAUCAGAUGAAGAUUUGGAAACGAGUUCCGACGAAUCAAUUAUCAGCAAUGUGGACAUUUUGUCAGAUAGUGACUAAUUUAAUAAUAUGAAUAUGUAUUAUAUACCGUAAUAAUAUUAUGUAGUGUUUUUAUGAGCAGUAAAAUUUAUAUACCCUUA
rnacentral:lncRNA from 1 species